UUUUGAAAUGAUGAUUUGACAUACCGCCCCAGUCUGAUUUUCAUGACUGAUUGGUAACCCUCUGAUAACU